UACGGAGGGAGCUAGCGUUGUUCGGAAUUACUGGGCGUAAAGCGCGCGUAGGCGGCAUAGCAAGUCAGGGGUGAAAUCCCGGGGCUCAACCCCGGAACUGCCUUUGAAACUGCUAAGCUAGAAUCCUGGAGAGGCGAGUGGAAUUCCGAGUGUAGAGGUGAAAUUCGUAGAUAUUCGGAGGAACACCAGUGGCGAAGGCGGCUCACUGGCUCGAUACUGACGCUGAGGUGCGAAAGCGUGGGGAGCAAACAGG
rnacentral:rRNA from 1 species